CCUACGGGAGGCAGCAGUGAGGAAUAUUGGUCAAUGGGCUUACGCCUGAACCAGCCAAGUCGCGUGAGGGAAGACUGCCCUAUGGGUUGUAAACCUCUUUUGUCAGGGAGCAACGCCGGCUACGUGUAGCCGGACUGAGUGUACCUGAAGAAAAAGCAUCGGCUAACUCCGGGCCAGACGCCGCGGUAAUACGGAGGACGCGAGCGUUAUCGGGAUUUAUUGGGUUUAAAGGGUGCGUAGGCGGAAUGCCAAGUCAGCGGUAAAAGCGCGGGGCUCAACCUCGCCCCGCCGUUGAAACUGGCGUUCUAGAGUGGGCGAGAAGUAUGCGGAAUGCGUGGUGUAGCGGUGAAAUGCAUAGAUAUCACGCAGAACUCCGAUUGCGAAGGCAGCAUACCGGCGCCCAACUGACGCUGAAGCACGAAAGCGUGGGUAUCGAACAGGAUUAGAUACCCUGGUAGUC
rnacentral:rRNA from 1 species